rnacentral:rRNA from 1 species
AUGCGUAUGAAGGGUUUUAGUGAAACCUGGAGGAACCAAGUAGAUACUCAAGUCCAGAAGGGUAGUGUCGGAAUUAAGGUGAAUGAUGACAUCGGUCACUACUUCCAGACGCAUAAGGGGUUGAGACAAGGGGAUUCCAUGUCACCUCUUCUGUUCAAUAUUGUGGCAGAUAUGUUGGCCAUCAUUAUUGGCAGGGCUAAGCAGCAUGGUCAUGUAGAGGGUCUAGUUCCUCAUCUAGUAGAUGGAGGGGUGUCCAUUCUACAAUAUGCUGAUGAUACUAUUCUUUUCAUGGAACAUGACUUGGCUAAGGCACGAAACAUGAAACUUAUCUUAUGUCUUUUCGAACAAUUGUCUGGCUUAAAAAUUAAUUUUCAUAAGAGCGAGGUGUUCUGCUUUGGGAAAGCCAAAGGCGAGGAACAUACAUACAGACAGUUGUUUGGAUGCGAUUUAGGUGCUUUACCAUUCAGUUAUUUGGGUAUUCCGAUUCAUCACCGUAAGCUGUCCAAUAAAGAAUGGAAAUGUAUUGAA